rnacentral:lncRNA from 1 species
GAUUGUUCCCGGAUGAGAAAAGGUGAAGACGAUGACUGGUAUUUGAUACUCUGAGACUUAUUCUUGCACAAAAAGAAAAGGGCAACUAUAGUAACAGAUCCAGAAAGACUCUUAUUUGCUGAUUGAGAUAGCACGGGUUUGAAUGACACUAAUCGACGGUAUAUAUACUUAUUAGCUCACCUUUCCUAAACAGAAAUGUGAGCUUUUGCCAUCACUUGGCGUCCGUUGUCGUCCGUCGUCGUCUCGUCGUCCGUCGUCGUCGUCGUCGUCGUCGUCGUCGUAAACUAUUUCAAAUCUUCUCCUCUGAAACUACUGAACCAUUCAAACAAACUUCAUCUGAUGAUUCCUAGGGUAUCUAGAAUAGUUUGGUUUUUAAUUCCCAUUCAUCAUAAAAACAUGCCGCCAUGACUAAAAAUAGAAUAGGGUAAAAUGCAGUUUUGGCUUAUAACCAAACCAAAGCAUUAGAGCAAACCGACAUGGGUAAUUGUUUAUCAGGUCAAGAUCUAUCUGCUGAAAUUUUUAGAUGAAUCGGACAACCGUUGUUGGUUCUGCCUAAAUUGGUAUUUUUAGGAAAUUUUACUGUUUUGGUUAUUAUCUUGAAUAUUAUUAUAGAUAGAGAUAAACUGUAAACAUCAUAAUGUUCAGAAGUAAGAUUUACAAAUAAGUCAACAUGACGAAAUAUCAUUGACCCCUUUAGGAGUUAUUGCCCUUAUAGUCAAUUUUUAACCAUUUUCGUAAAUCUUAGUAAUCUUUACAAAAAUCUUCUCUGAAACUACUGAGCCAAAUUUAACCAAAUUGGCCAAUCAUCAUUUGGAUAUCUUGUUUUAAAAAUGUGUGGUGACCUGCAACCAACAGAUGGUCGCCAUGGCUAAAAAAGUACAUAGGGGCGAAAUAUAAUUUUGUCUUAUAUCUCUGAAACCAAAGCAUUUAGAGCAAUUGUCAGGGGAUAAAUUGUUUAUCAGGUCAAGAUCCUCUGCCCUGAAUUUUCAGACAAAACAGACAACCUUGUUGGGUUGCUGCCCCAAAUUUGUAAUUUUAAAAUUUGGUGUUUUGGUUAUUAUCUUGAAUUAUUAUAGAUAGAGAUAAAACGUAAACAGCUUAUGUUAGCAAGAAGACUAUAAAUAAGUCAAAUGACAAGAAUUGUUCAGUUUACCCUAAGGAGUUAUUGCCCUUUAUAGUCAUUUUUUAACAAUUUUCAUAAUUUGUAAUUUGUAAUUUUUAGAAUAUUUUCCACUGUAUUACUGGGCAAGUUCAUUAUAGAUAGAGAUAAUUGUAGCACAAGAAGUAAGUAAAGUAAGAUCUACAAAAUACAUCACCAAAACAAUUUCGUCGUGAAUUUAUCUGGUCCAUGUUUAUAUGCACCAAGGUGAGCGACACAGGCCUUGAGAGCCUCUAGUUACAAUUUAAUUCUAUCAAUAGAACUAUAUAUCCACAUAAAAAGGUAAAAGUAAGAACAAACAAAAGUCAAAACAAAAAGCACACAAUAUGAUAAAAAAAUAUAUCUAAAGACUGGGUAACAGAAUUAACUUCAACCUCCACACCAAAACCUACAAAACAACAACAAAAAAAAAACAAAACAAAAAUACAAUGAUAAACCAAAGUGCACUUUACGGCAGAAGGAACAUGUUGCAUUUUUCGAGUUUUCCCCCUUCCAAACAAAGAUGAACCCUGAUUUUCCAGAGGCAAAUGUUAUUUAUAGUUCAAUAUUUUCUUUCACUUUUAAGCUCGUGAACGUUUCUCUUAACUUGGCGUCCAUGAUCAUCAUUGUUGUUUAUCUUGCGUCAGUCGUCCGUCGUCUGUUAACCUUUACAAACUUUUCUCCUCUAUAGCAAGUCGGAUAGUUGUAACCUUGGCCACAAUCACCAGUUUAAAUACGUAUGCGAUGAUUCCGCUGGCCAAAUAAUAUGGCCGAUACAAAUAGAUAUAAAAUUUAUUUUGUUACAUGCAAGUUUUGGCUAUUAUAUUGCACACUUCUAUAGAUAGGGAAAACCCGACAGCGGCACAAAUGUUAAGAAUAAUAAAAUCUACAAACUGUCGUAAUAUACAAAAAAACAUUAAGACAGUUUAUGGGUUUGGAGUUAUUACUUUCAAAUGACAAAUUUUACCGUUUUUAGUUUACCUGGCUCUCUAGGCUUUUGUUUCUGUUGUAUCCGUUACAUAGAAGGAGAGAUAAGUGUUUCUAAUAAAAAAAUAUAGAUAUUACAUGAAUAUAUAAUUACAGGCAAUUUUAAACAACGUUCGCACACAUGCAUGUCUUUUUCAUGCUUUUGUUAGGAAUGAAGCAUUUUUUUAUUAAAUAUAUACAUCCGUUUCGUUGCUGUGAUUUCCUCUUAUAAUUGACGUGUUUCCCUCGGUUUAAGUUUGUAACCUGGAUUUAUUUUCUCUCAAUCGAUUUAUGACUCAAAACUGUACACAUGUAUGUCAAGCUAAUGUAUUUGUUAGGUAUGAAAUAUUUUUUAUUAAGUAUGUACAUCUGUUCCAUUGCUUUGUUUUCCUUUAAUAGUUGAUGUGUUUCCCCUGUUUUAGUUUGUAACCCGGAUUUGUUUUCUCUCUUUCUUGAACACUGGGAUACUACUAUUUCAUUCAUUUUGCUCUUAGAGUUGACGACUUUACUUCAGUUUUGGCUUGUGACUAGUGUUUAUUUCGUUUAAUUUAUUUAUGACUAUUGAACAGCGGUAUACUAUGGACGUCAAGUUGGUUACUUAUUCCCUAUUCCCUAUUCGUUACCUAUUCCCUAUUCCCUAUUCGUUACCAUUCGUUACCUAUUCCCUAUUCCCUAUUCGUUACCCAUUCGUUACCUAUUCCCUAUUCCCUAUUCGUUACCUAUUCGUUACCUAUUCCAUAUUCGUUACCUAUUCGUUACCUAUUCCCUAUUCGUUACCUAUUCGUUACCUAUUCGUUACCUAUUCCCUAUUCCAUUACCUAUUCCCUAUUCCCUAUUCGUUACCUAUUCCCUUAUUCCCUAUUCGUUACCUAUUCGUUACUAAUUCCCUAUUCCCUAUUCGUUAUCUAUUCGUUACUAAUUCCCUAUUCCCUAUUCGUUACCUAUUCGUUACCUAUUCCCUAUUCCCAUCGGUAUACUACUGUUGACUUUAUUUGAGAUUCGGCAUAGGCAAUUAUAUACACUGAUCUCAGUGAGCUUGAUUAGAUGAUUUUAGCCAAAGGGUUGACUAUUUGUCAAUAAUGUGUGUCUGUUGAUAUAACAAAACAAACCUCCUGUGCAAAUGGUUAGCACAUUGAAACCAAUAAUGGCCACAAUCCUCCGUCUUCUUAUCAGUAAAAUAAUCCAGCUUGCCAACUUAAAAGACGAUUUUUACAGUUUGUUAAUCCUCUUGAAAACUUUUUAUAAAAAAAGAAAGAACUGUAAAAUGAUCUACAUGAUAACUUCUAAAUCGAAAUAACUAAUUUGUAUCGCUCGACCUCUCAUAUGAGCUUUGUUUUUGAAAAACGUAUUCAGCCCAUUUUAUGUUGUUUGCGUUAAUUACAGUAGAUAUGGAUACAAUUUUAGCUCACAUAAAUGAUAAACAAUGUUAUAUAUACAAAUGAGUUAGGAUUGCCGUGUUUGUGAGUCCUCUUCUUAUAUUAUUAUAACAUUUGAAAGAACUUUUUCUCAAGCUUUUAUUUUAAAGUAAUAGCUAUAGACAUAAUUUAAAAGCAAAAGUAUUAUAAACCAAUGAAAAGCUAAAUUAGAAUUAUAAAUAAGCAAGAGUUAUCAAAUCAUCAGUCGACUCCUUAUAUGAGUUAUUUAAGAAAUAAUUCAUGGAAGCCAUAGAUUGUUGGAAAUUUACACAUGGCCCAGGCCAUGUGUAAAUUUCCAACACUCUAUGGCUUCCAUGAAUUAUUUCGAUUCUAAUAGGACAAAUACGGUUAUUAAAAAACAGAAGCGGGGGUGGGUAUGCUGUGUAUGUGGACGUUCUUUUUUACUCCCUGUUAGAUAAAGCUCAAAUAUCUUAAUAAAUAUGUAGCUUGCGUAGGUUAUUUCGUGAAUAACUGCUAGAAAAAAACUUUUUAAUUCUUUAAAUUCUCAAACCCAACAUUUGCCAUUUUUAAUUUACAUGUUUUUCUCGUAAGCUUCCGUCAAAUCCAAAUUUGUCAUUUAGUAACUAGGGAUCCGCCAUAUUGACUUGCUGAAAUGAGUAAAUAUGCGAAUAAUGCAAUAGAAUAGAAAAUAAAACACAACCUACGUCAAAAAUCAGUUUUAAUACAUUUUCAUACGAAUUCCGAUGGUUCACGUAACAGAAAACUUUCAACUUUAGCGGUUUCAUUUGUAUGACGUCAUGUUUUGAAAUGACUUUUAAAUGCGCAAAAAAGAUUAAUAGACUUUCGCGGAAUUUUAUUUAAUUUUUAUUUUGUUGAUUUCUCCGAACUCUUGUGUACAUAACUUCUUUUUAUUAUGCAUACGAAUAAGAAUAAAAGUUAUUUUGUCUUUUUUUAAUUGCACUUUUUAAAACAAUAAAAUCGACAAAGGGUCUGCAAAUAGGUUCCAAUACAUGUAUAUUUACGUGGGAAGUAUAUUGUAACAGCCAUUAUUAUGUAUAUCUCUGAGUCUGCGCUAAGUAUAUUUUAUCGAGAAUUUUAUCACAGUGUUGUUUACAAAGCUAAAGAAGCACGUCACAUUAGAAUAAGAUUUAACCCUGUUAUUUUCGAUAUUGUUUUUAAAAACAUAAUAGCACCAUCGCUAUAUUAGGUAAAUUAAAACAUUGAACAUCAAUAAUGAUCAAACAUACAAGUAGUGUGUUGUCAGAUAAAUAAAGACAAUUUGGCAAUUGAAAACUGUGCAUAAGACUACCCCAUAUCUUUGACAGAAAUUGACCACCAUAGGGAUGUGUGCAUACGCAUAUGUGACCCGCCAUGACAUUUGCAGGCUUAUGGAGGUAGAACGUCAUUGUUAGAAAAAUUAUAGACAUGAUAAAUAUCGAGAUUCAAUGAAAUACGUAUUUGUGAAGAAGAGAUAAACACUUAAAGUUUCCUUUGCUUCUCUUUUGCGGACGCCGAACUAUACAUCAUACAUAAUUUUUUAAGAAGUUUUACUUUAUCGUUUGAAGUGAAAAAUAUUUGAAUCUACAUGUUAAACUGAUACAAAAAAAAAAAAAAAAAUCAAAUUUCUGCUCUAUAGAUUUCCUUUCAUAAAUGAAGUCUGAAAUAUAUCCAUAAUAAAUGUACCGUAUCAAAUGAAUAUAAGAGAACACCUACUUAUAAACUGUUACGCGUCGCAUACUAUGUAUAGAGACAUCUUUUGCAUAAUAAAUUUAAAUUAAAAAAAGGAAUUCUUAAAGCUUACUUUGACAAAUUUUAAACUAAUUUUAUUUCAACAAGUUUAAAUUACAUGAUCUAAAAUAGAGCUACAAACAAACAAAUAAUGCUCUGCUCUAUAGAUUUUCUUUCAUAAAUGAAGUCUGAAAUAUAUUUAUAAUAAAUGCACCGUAUCAAAUUAAUAUAUGAGAACACUUACUUAUAAACUGUUACGCGUCGCAUACUAUUUUUAGAGACAUGCAUAAUAAAUCUAAAUUAAAAAAAGGAAUUCUUAAAGCUUACUUUGACAUAUUUUAAACUAAUUUUAUUUUAACAAGUUUAAAUUACAUGUUCUAAAAUAGAGAUAAGAAUUGUUUGCAUUGUAGUAAAUUUAAGUCUUUGAAAUUUUAUUCAAAAACGCUAUUCAACAUCACUAAGAGCCAAUAAAUACAAUAAUUUUGUGUUUUAUAAAUUAGUACCUUCAGUAAGUAAAAGUCGUCAUAGAACAGUCUCAUUUUCAUACCGGUAUUCGAAAUGUCUCGUUUCAUUGCUAUUACAACAAAUAUGUCAUAAUAACAUGACAGAGAGUUUUGUUUCGGAAUAUUCUAGAUAAAUAUACAAAAAUCAAAUUUUAGACAAUGUACCCUCCUAAGACUGGAAAUGGCUAGUCACAUAUAGUUAACGGCGUUUUUCUCAGAAUGACGUUCUACCUCCAUAAGCCUGGAUAUAUGUAUGAUGUGUACCACUAUGUGUACCAUGCCUACUUGUCUAAAGUACUUAUAAAACAGUUCUUGAGCGGUAUUGCCUCGCUUGAUUGAUUUCCAAAGUAACACUACAUAAGUGUAUAGCUGCUGUGCAUUACGCUGAAAGCUAUUAGUCGUUGAGGUACGUAUGCACACGAACUACUCAGGCUAUCAAUAUGGUUUCGGCCUUAAUAUUUGAGGAAUUUUGGUCCUCAAUGCUCGUCCAAGUCGUUUUUUUUUUAUUUGAGCGUCUUUUGUAGACAGAACGCGGUUGUGGCUAAAAUAUAACAUUUCAAUCCUGGUAUUUAAAAUUGAGAAUGAAAAUGGGGAAUGUGUAAAAAAAACAACAACCCGACCAUAGAGCAGACAACAGCCGAAGACAACCAAUGGGUCUUCAAAGCAGCGAGAAACUCCCACACCCGGAGGCGUCCUUCAGCUGCCCCCUAAAAAUAUGUAUACUAGUUCAGUGAUAAUGGACGUCAUACUAAACUAAAAUUAAAAUUAAUACAAGAUUACCAAAGGUAAGAGGCUCCUGACAUGGGACAGGCGCAAAAUUGUGGCGGGGUUAAACAUGCUUUUUGAGAUCUCAAUCCUCCCCCUAUACCUCUAGCCAAUGUAGAAAAAAAAAACAAACACACAACAAUACGCACAGUGGAACUCAGUUUCAGAGAAGUCCGAGUCCGAUGUCAGAAUAUGAAACAAAAGUAAAUAAACAAAAUGACAAAAAUACAUAAAUAACAACAGACUACUAGCAGUUACUGACAUACCAGCUCCAGACCUCAAUUAAACUGAUUGAAAGAUGUCUUCAUAUGAAUAUCAGGCACACUCCCUCUUGUUAGGGGUUUAGUAUAAUACCAUGUGUUCAUUUAGGUAACACCAAGGUUAUUAAAAAGGCACACCACCAUCAUAAUAUCAAGGUGACGGGGAGAUUUAUGAGUAGGUGAAUUAUUUCAAAACUAAAACUAUCAGUUCAACUAUAGACAUAACUGAUUGAUUCUAAGAUAAGAAAUAUUGAAAUAGGAACACACGCAUCCUAUAGUUUAUCAAUAAGUUAAUGUGGAUUCAUUGUUAUUCGUGGGUAAUCAAUUUUCGUGGAUUUCGUGGGUACAGGCGAUAAACGAAACUAAAUGUUCAACGAAUAACUCUAUAUAUAUAUGCUUGUAUGCAGUCCUAGGCAAAACCACGAAAUUAGAUAUCCACGAACAUGUAAGUUUUCCUUAAUCCACAAAAAUUGGUUAUCACGAAAAUAAAUGAAUUCACAGUAACACAAUUUUAUCAGCUCCUACCGAUCAACAUUAAUCAACUCUUGUAAUAAAGUUUAGAGUAUCAUCCUAUAACACAAUUGAUGUAUUUGACAGGUUAUGAGCUCAGACAGAAAAUAUAUACACAUCAAUUGAAAAUGUCUUACAAUAUCAUAUGAGUGAGGUAUCAUAGAUACGAGAUUUAAGUUUUGGAAGCAAUGUAUGCGGAUGAUCUACAAAAGACUCACCAGUGACGCAAAAACCAAAACAGGUAAAAUGGCAAAUCAAGUAUAAAGUUGAAGAGAACUGAAGACCUAAAAAUUCCCCUUUAAUACCAGUUUAUGUACAGUUGUUUUUGUAACCUAUUUUUCAAACAAGAUACAAUUAUGUACAGGGAAAUCGUAGCAAAGAAUUUAUAUUUUUUGAACUUCGUUUUUAUCUCUAGAGCAGUG